CUUAUCAUUUAGAGGAAGGAGAAGUCGUAACAAGGUUUCCGUAGGUGAACCUGCGGAAGGAUCAUUGUCGAGACCCGCAAAGCAGACCGCGAACACGUGUUUAACCAAAUCGGGCUAGCGGCGCGGGGGGAAGCCUCCCGUCGCGAUCCCAUCCCCGCCGGCGUGCGCGAGAGCGUUCCGUCGUGCGGGCUAACGAACCCCGGCGCGGUAUGCGCCAAGGAAAACAAAACGUAGCGUCCGCCUCCCGACGCCCCGUUCGCGGAGCGCGCGGGGGGACGGGACGUCUAUCUAAUGUCAAAACGACUCUCGGCAACGGAUAUCUCGGCUCUCGCAUCGAUGAAGAACGUAGCGAAAUGCGAUACUUGGUGUGAAUUGCAGAAUCCCGUGAACCAUCGAGUCUUUGAACGCAAGUUGCGCCCGAAGCCAUUAGGCCGAGGGCACGUCUGCCUGGGCGUCACGCAUCGCGUCGCCCCCCUCCAGCGCACGGCGCUCGCGAGGGGGGCGGAGAUUGGCCUCCCGUGCGCCUACGUCGCGCGCGGCCGGCCCAAAUGCGAUCCCUCGGCGACGCACGUCACGACCAGUGGUGGUUGAACAACGCUCAACUCUCGUGCUGUCGUGCGGCACCGCGUCGUCCGUUCGGGCAUCACCAACGACCCAAGGGCGCGUGCACCGCGCCUUCGACCGCGACCCCAGGUCAGGCGGGAUCACCCGCUGAGUUUAAGCAUAUCAAUAAGCGGAGGAA
rnacentral:misc_RNA from 1 species